CAGUCGCCAGCGGUAAUACGGAGGGUGCAAGCGUUAAUCGGAAUUACUGGGCGUAAAGCGCACGCAGGCGGUCUGACAAGUCAGAUGUGAAAUCCCCGGGCUUAACCUGGGAACUGCAUUUGAAACUGUCAGGCUGGAGUCUUGUAGAGGGGGGUGGAAUUCCAGGUGUAGCGGUGAAAUGCGUAGAGAUCUGGAGGAAUACCGGUGGCGAAGGCGGCCCCCUGGACAAAGACUGACGCUCAGGUGCGAAAGCGUGGGGAGCAAACAGGAUUAGAUACCCCUGUAGUCCCUGUCUCUUAUA
rnacentral:rRNA from 1 species